ensembl:lncRNA
AAGGCGCGCUCGCCCCACCCUCGCGCGGCUGCGGCCUCGCGCGGGCGCUAACGGCCGCUUCCCGCGGCCCCCGGUAGGUCGGUUGUAGCGGCGGGAGGGGCCCUGCUGCGGCGCCGCUYCCCGGCCUCGCUUCCCCUUCCGCCAGCCGCGGGGCGGCCCUGCGCGCGCGCUCCGCCGUUAACGGUCGCUAACGGUCGCUGCCGCGCGGCGCGGGCCUGUGAGGCCCAGGGGCUCUCCGGCGUCCUUUCGCCUUGUCCUCCGCUCAGAGCGCCUUUGCUGGGGCUAGGGGGAAGGAGCCUCCGCUAAAGCACAAGCGAGCGCUUCCAGCCUGCCUCAAGUGCGUCUCCUGCCUUCUGCCCCAGCAGGCGUGCUCGCAGCAGGCUGUGAAGCCCGGCCUGGCUGUAGCACGCUGCCCCUUUGCUGCGGAAAAGCUUAGCGUCUUGCAGCGCACUUUACUAACUUCAGUUCCGUACCACAUUUUUGUUUGAUUCAAAUCUCCUGUGGAGGCAAGAGUAACCAAGUUGCCUGCGGUUAUGCAAAAAGAAUAAGAACAAGAGUCAGAAUUAACUUUCAGAAAUCUUAAUACCACCUCUUCUUAGCCCAUUCCAGUCUUUUCAUGUGUAUGUGGGGUGCCAUCAGAUGAUUCACCUUCAAGUAGCAUCAGUAAAAAUUCUCUUGGAUGGUUUCAAAGAUCCAACCAGUUUACAGUCCAAAACUGUCCAUUUAUAUCUCCUUGGGUGCCAUUCAGUGACAGAAACAUAAUCAUCUUUAAGCCCAUCUGCUGGAUUAGCUUUUGGAUUUCACUUCUGGUGUUCUGUGUAUGCUACCACUACAGAAUUCCUAUUACAGCACCUUUUCUUCAUGUCACUCCCAAAACAUAGACAUUAUAAUUAGGUGUCUGCAUUUUAAUGAGCACUUGUAGCUGUAUGUAAAUACUUUAAAAUCACAGUAUAGCAGAGUUCUAAAAGUGUUAAGGGUUUUUUAUUUUGUGCUAUGUAAGAUGGAUGUGUUUUUAAUAUGGUAGAAAAGCUAGUACUUUCCUGGGCAGUAUGACAAUAUUAUAUAUGAAUUAAAGCUACUUCUGAAUUGUCUGCUCAAGUUCCACUGUGACCGCUCAGUGUUUAUUAAAUAAUUUAUUGAUAACAUCUUGAAAUCUGCCUGUGAUAAAAUAUUCAUGUACCUAAUACAGUAUUUUCAUGCUAAAACAGCAGUGAUGACUGGCCAUGUAAAAUACUUUUAGUAAACUCUUUUAAUCUAAAAUAAGUCUAGUAUUUCUAAUCACUUAGUAAUUAUUUAAAAUUUUAAUUUUCCAGAGGAUGAAAUUAUGUCCUAGCCCUGCUGUAAAAAUUGUUUUUAUAGGCAUUUACUUCAUAUGAUUUAAAAUGAAGUCCUAGAUAAUGAUUUUGCAUUUGAGUGUUUAAUUACUGAUGUCAAUACAUAAACAUCAUAACUCUACUCAGAUAAUAAUUAAACUUAAACUGGUAGUAAAGGAAGUUUAGCUUCCUGGAAAUUUUAUCUGAAACUUUUCAGUACAAACUGAACUCCACUACAAGUCUGCAUCUACUACAUGUUUGGAAGUAUCAAUAUCAGAAAUGAAACAAUUUAGUUUUAUAUAAGAAAGUUGGGCAAUAGGUAAUUUCCAUUUUUAUGCUGUGUACAUUUAGUUUUAUGGGCUUUGAAGAGUAAAGUGGUGUUUAUUCUUUUACUAGUUAGAAAAACUAUUUUGAUCUUUAGUUAUUUUUAAAUUCAUAAGAAAAGGCCUAAUACAGUUUUUGGCAUUUGCUAAUAUUUAGCAUUACAUUUAUUGCACAAACCACAUUGUUUAAAGUCA